GUAAUAUCCCGCGGAACUACACAAUCACUAUUCAAAAUGUAUGCACAACGAUUGAUCAGAAAGAUGGCAUUCACAGGGUAUUUGAACAGUCUAGCGUUUAUAUUUUAGGUAUCAAAUAAAAGAUUAAGGUGUAAUCUGACAACAUAAACUUUUUUAAAGGAUUUCUUUGAGAAAAAGUAAUGAAGAGCAAUGUAAAAUUUAAAUGGAGGGAAUGGUGAGGGACAGACUUGUUCGUUUGCUUUAUUCUACCAAGGACCAGAACAUUGAAACCUAUUAGGAAAUUGGUGAGGGAUACACUUGUUCAUUUGCCGUAUUCUACCAAUGAACAGGACAUAGAAACACAUCAGGAAAUUGGUGAUGGACAGACCUGAUCUACCUGGGGCCAGGGCAUAGAAACAUGUCAGGUACUUAAUACACCUUUUUUGUCC